CGAGUGAAGCGGUAACAGCUCAAAUUUGAAAUCUGGUCCCCUCUGGGGGCCCGAGUUGUAAUUUGAAGAGGAUGCUUUUGGCGAGGCGCCUUCCGAGUGCCCUGGAACGGGACGCCACAGAGGGUGAGAGCCCCGUAUGGUAGGACGCCGAGCCUCUGUAAAGCUCCUUCGACGAGUCGAGUAGUUUGGGAAUGCUGCUCAAAAUGGGAGGUAAACCCCUUCUAAAGCUAAAUAUUGGCCAGAGACCGAUAGCGCACAAGUAGAGUGAUCGAAAGAUGAAAAGCACUUUGAAAAGAGAGUUAAACAGCACGUGAAAUUGUUGAAAGGGAAGCGCUUGCGACCAGACUUGCGCCCGUCGGAUCAACCGUCCCUCGUGGGCGGCGCACUCCGGCGGGCUCAGGCCAGCAUCAGUUUUCCCGGGGGGAGAAAGGCGGUGGGAAUGUGGCUCUUCGGAGUGUUAUAGCCCUCCGCGUAAUGCCCCCGGGGGGACUGAGGACCGCGCGUAAGCAAGGAUGCUGGCGUAAUGGUCGUCAGCGACCCGUCUUGAAACACGGACCAAGGAGUCGUCCUAAUAUGCGAGUGUACGGGUGUAAAACCCCUGCGCGUAAUGAAAGUGAACGGAGGUGAGAGCUUCGGCGCAUCAUCGACCGAUCCUGAUGUUCUCGGAUGGAUUUGAGUAAGAGCAUAUUGGGCCGGACCCGAAAGAAGGUGAACUAUGCCUGUAUAGGGUGAAGCCAGAGGAAACUCUGGUGGAGGCUCGCAGCGGUUCUGACGUGCAAAUCGAUCGUCAAAUAUGGGCAUGGGGGCG
rnacentral:rRNA from 1 species